AGAGUUUGAUCCUGGCUCAGAUUGAACGCUGGCGGCAGGCCUAACACAUGCAAGUCGAGCGGUAGCACAGAGAGCUUGCUCUCGGGUGACGAGCGGCGGACGGGUGAGUAAUGUCUGGGAAACUGCCUGAUGGAGGGGGAUAACUACUGGAAACGGUAGCUAAUACCGCAUAACGUCGCAAGACCAAAGUGGGGGACCUUCGGGCCUCAUGCCAUCAGAUGUGCCCAGAUGGGAUUAGCUAGUAGGUGGGGUAACGGCUCACCUAGGCGACGAUCCCUAGCUGGUCUGAGAGGAUGACCAGCCACACUGGAACUGAGACACGGUCCAGACUCCUACGGGAGGCAGCAGUGGGGAAUAUUGCACAAUGGGCGCAAGCCUGAUGCAGCCAUGCCGCGUGUGUGAAGAAGGCCUUCGGGUUGUAAAGCACUUUCAGCGGGGAGGAAGGCGGUGAGGUUAAUAACCUCACCGAUAGACGUUACCCGCAGAAGAAGCACCGGCUAACUCCGUGCCAGCAGCCGCGGUAAUACGGAGGGUGCAAGCGUUAAUCGGAAUUACUGGGCGUAAAGCGCACGCAGGCGGUCUGUCAAGUCGGAUGUGAAAUCCCCGGGCUCAACCUGGGAACUGCAUUCGAAACUGGCAGGCUAGAGUCUUGUAGAGGGGGGUAGAAUUCCAGGUGUAGCGGUGAAAUGCGUAGAGAUCUGGAGGAAUACCGGUGGCGAAGGCGGCCCCCUGGACAAAGACUGACGCUCAGGUGCGAAAGCGUGGGGAGCAAACAGGAUUAGAUACCCUGGUAGUCCACGCUGUAAACGAUGUCGAUUUGGAGGUUGUGCCCUUGAGGCGUGGCUUCCGGAGCUAACGCGUUAAAUCGACCGCCUGGGGAGUACGGCCGCAAGGUUAAAACUCAAAUGAAUUGACGGGGGCCCGCACAAGCGGUGGAGCAUGUGGUUUAAUUCGAUGCAACGCGAAGAACCUUACCUGGUCUUGACAUCCACAGAACUUUCCAGAGAUGGAUUGGUGCCUUCGGGAACUGUGAGACAGGUGCUGCAUGGCUGUCGUCAGCUCGUGUUGUGAAAUGUUGGGUUAAGUCCCGCAACGAGCGCAACCCUUAUCCUUUGUUGCCAGCGGUUAGGCCGGGAACUCAAAGGAGACUGCCAGUGAUAAACUGGAGGAAGGUGGGGAUGACGUCAAGUCAUCAUGGCCCUUACGACCAGGGCUACACACGUGCUACAAUGGCAUAUACAAAGAGAAGCGACCUCGCGAGAGCAAGCGGACCUCAUAAAGUAUGUCGUAGUCCGGAUUGGAGUCUGCAACUCGACUCCAUGAAGUCGGAAUCGCUAGUAAUCGUAGAUCAGAAUGCUACGGUGAAUACGUUCCCGGGCCUUGUACACAACGCCCGUCA
rnacentral:rRNA from 1 species